rnacentral:rRNA from 1 species
UACGGGGGGAGCAAGCGUUGUUCGGAUUUACUGGGCGUAAAGGGCGCGUAGGCGGCCAGCACAAGUCAGUUGUGAAAUCUCCGAGCUUAACUCGGAAAGGUCAACUGAUACUGUGCGGCUAGAGUGCAGAAGGGGCAACUGGAAUUCUUGGUGUAGCGGUGAAAUGCGUAGAUAUCAGGAGGAACACCGAUGGCGAAGGCAGGUCUCUGGGCAUUAACUGACGCUGAGGAGCGAAAGCAUGGGGAGCGAACAGG